UAGACUAGCAAAUUGGGACGGAUGGAGUAGAUCAUUGUAAUUGUCAUGUUUUCCUUAUAUGUAAUUUGUUGUUUUAGUAAACCUAACACGGAUUCAACUCUCUGAUACUAUAUAUCUCUUCAAGUGAUUCUCAAAUUUUCCCAAGUCAUUGCCUGACUCCGUUAUUGUUGAACUAGAGUCAUUCCCUACAAAAUGCUAUAUCUUUCUUCGACGUGGGCAAGACUUCAAAUGCAUUGGGCAAUUCAAUAGAUCAAAUUGAGGUUCAAGAUGAUUGCAUAUUAUUUGACUUCUUUGUAGUUCAAGUAUACAAUUUGCUUUAGGAAAGUUGACAGUAAUAAUAUAUUGAAGCAUGCUCUGUUUGAUAUGUAAUUGGAUAUAUUCAUCUAAGGAGUACUUUGGUUUUUGGGUUUAAGUUUGAGGCUUCAAAUUUACAACAUUUAAAUUGGUUUUGAUUUCAUAAUGUUAAGCGUGCUUUUUGGAUCGCUCAUUACUUCUGUUCUGUCAGUUGAAUCUCAUCCACAAAAAAUAUCAGAAUUAUGCACUUUGAUUACUCACGAGUCAACUGGGAAGACUAGGUGCGCAAAUAACUUAAAAUCGUGUCUACUCAAUGGAUAUUUCAGCUUUGUAGUUAAGAUGUCUUCCUAAUUGAAUACCCUUCACAUUUUUUCUAGGUUCCAUUUCAUGAAAAGGGGUUGAUGGACUCUGAUUUCGUUUUGGAAUCAUGUGUAUCACCAGCUUCACCGUAGAUCAGAGACUUGUUGCAUCGAAAAACUUAUGUGGGUGUUCUCUAGAGUUUAGAUCGAAUCAAGACAGUGUUCUUGUGUUGGCUACAAAAGCAUGUAUGUGCAAACCAAAUUUAGGAUUUAAUCAAAAGGAGCAACAGUGAUGAGGGGACAUUGGGUGAAGGGCAGGAUGCAGCCUCUAUUAGUUAAAUGAAAGCUGAAGGGUUGAAGAUGAACAGGUUCGACAAUGCAACAUAAUCGCCUUUUAAUAUUAACAUCGUGUCUAUGUAUCUAGAGAAGAAACAUACGAUUGCAGCAGUGUUAACUCUUGGGGGAACAAAUUACUUUUCGUCUCGUGAUGUAAGGAUAUUCGAUUAUCGUUAGAUUUCGGAUAUGUAGAUACCUUUUGUACAAGUACACUUAGUAAGUAUGAGGAAUUGUAAUUAGUUGUUGAAUAUAUUUUGAUAGUAUCAAGAAGAAUGUAUUUUGAUACCAUUGAGAUUGAUUUGGUUGGAAUUACUCAAUAUAUAGGGUCCAUUUUGAUUUUGUA